UAAAUAUGUGACAAAUGCUAAGAGGCUAUAAGAAUAAAAUAAUGCCAAAUCAGAGAAGAAACAAUAUAUUUCCCUAGAAGUGAGGUGGGGGGUAAGAGAAAGAUUAAGAAAACUUAACCAGAAAAAGUGACACAUGAACUGGGUUCUCCUAGAUGUAAAGAGGGUGUGAAUAAGGGAAUGAGUAGUUGUUUCACAAGAUUAUUUUCAAACCGUAGCCUCAAAGAACUUCUGCCUCUAGUCAAGAUAGAAGGAAUUGGGUUUACCCUCAUGCCUGAAACAACUAAAAAAAAAAAAAAAUGGAUGAAACAAUGGCACAAAAGACAUUGCACAUCAGACAACAAAGGACAGUGAUCCUUCCAAGUUGGGAACAAACAAGAACGUGGAAUACAGAGAAACAGCACUGGACCUUUGUACCAAGGACUCCUGCAGUGGUGUAGGAUUUACUGGAGGACCCAGAGACUCCAUCUGGACCCUAAUCAAUACCGGACACAAUUACAUGCACAUCGCCUGCUAUUCCUGGUUGAUUUGUAAGCCGAGAAAAUCUCUGAGGCAGAAAGUCAGUGAAGAAGUUGGGAAAACCAGAGGCCUGUCUUCUGCAGAAAUCGGACGAAAAGUAAGUUGCAAAAUUAAUGGAACGUCUUGGCGUCCAAUAAAGAGUAUGUUAUGCUGCAACAGAGUAGGACCUAUGCGUGUACCUGUUCAUUCACUUAACAUACAGAAUCAAGCACUGACGUUUACAAUCCCGUUCAUUGUUCUGGGCACUGGGGAAACAGCAAAGAAGAAAACAGUCCUGUUAUUAUGGUGAUUUCAUUCUGGAGAGCAGAA